rnacentral:lncRNA from 1 species
GAAAAAUUACACUGGUUAUAUAGCAGUUUGACAAACAGUUAUUUGAUUCAUUGAGAAGCUUUAUAUUCCCUUCAAAACACAACGUGAUUAAAACGUUUAGCUGAUUUUUCUCCCUGUAAUGUUAGGUGCCACCUUAAUCGUUGCUAAUUGUAAACUCGAUGCUAACAUUAGUUGUAGUCAUAUCUAUUAGUCAUAUUGUGCAGUAUUUUAUUUGAUG